CCCUCCUCCUGUCUAGUUUUGUGACUCUCUUGUGCCUUAAGAACAUUGCACAACAGGCAAGUUCAAAUACCUCAUGCCUGAGUUCCUCCAGAAUUUAGUAAAUGCUUCCGUGUCUUCCAACUUAACACCAGUCAGUUUAUCAGACUUACUGACAUGCCAGCCAGAGGAUGAACCUGGGGAAUCGUAUCCAUAAAGACCCCUACCCCCUUUCCCAUUUCGACAAUGAACUGCCUCAGCCUGGCCUUCCAUGGAUGCUGGCAGCAGGUGUUAGAACCCGACACCAGUUGUCCUACAACAAGCAGAGCCGCAGUGAUCUCUCUGUGGAUCAACUUUCUGAUUUGCCCACAGAAACAUACCACAUUUUUUAGCGUGACAGGGAAACAAGAAAAUAUUUCCUUCAGCAUUUCUAUUUGCAUUUACGGAUCACGCCAAGAUUCGCUGCUCCAAAACAACCGCGGAGAAGCGGAGCCGGCGGAGCUCCCGGCGCGCCGCGCACAGCCGGGCACGGCCACGGCUGCGGUCGGUCCCCCGAGCUCGGUCACCGCCUGUUCCACGGCCACUGACAACGCGUGAAACCGAGCAGCUCCUCGGUUCGCUUCAGCCUCCAGCGCGGCCCGACUCUGUUAUGUUCGAGGCGAUGGUUCAAGGAGUGAAAUUACAUACACUACUAAGUCUCGUACCAAUUAAGACUUUAACCCCUAAUUACCAAGAAUAAAGGAAAAGCAAUCUGAAGUGGAAUAAGACAGCUUACAUCACGUCCAGCUUCACCAGGAGCACCAUUUGGACCAGGAGAACCCACAGGACCAGAGGGACCACGGGCACCAGGAGGACCAGAAACACCCAGGGGACCAGGUUCACCCUAAUACAGGAACAGUGAGAUGCCUGGAAGACCACGUUCUCCCCGAGAGCCAGGCAGACCAAGGAUACCAGGAGCACCAAGAAUACCCUGAGGACCUGGGGUUCCAGGAGGACCCUGUGAUGUGAAG